GGAGAGGUGUCCGAGUGGUUGAAGGAGCUAGUCUCGAAAACUAGUAUACAGGAAACUGUAUCGCGGGUUCAAAUCCCGCCCUCUCCG
rnacentral:tRNA from 1 species